rnacentral:lncRNA from 1 species
GAAACAUUCUGUGAACAGAGAUAACUACGUUAUAAAACAGAAAGUUUUAUAGGAGAGGGUAAAUAAAAUGCUGCCAGGUUUCAGAGGAGGGAGGAGUAAUUUCCUGCUAGGUAUCAAAGAAGGCUCUCUGGUGGAUGUGGCAUUAGCUCUACAAAUCUGUAAUAUAGCAUCUUGAGAAUCCAGGUUCUGCAGCACCCCCAGCACCACCUUUUCCCUCCUCCAUAAUGUGGUCCUUUCUUCUCCUCCUCUUUCUCCUACCCAGUAUCACCCAUCUUUUUUGUCAAACUGAGAUCUUGUAUUUUGGGGGGAGCUCCUCUGAGAAAAACACAAGAUUUUCUACAUAGAGGUAGGUUCAUGUGGUUCGAAAUAUUAUUAGAAAUCACACCUAUCCAUCUGGAAGUGUGUGGUUAUAGACACAGAAGAAUCUCAGAGAACAGUAGGCUGGUAGUGGGCUGGUACCUUGGAGGACCAACCAUGGAUAAAGGCCUAAAAGAUCCUCUUGGCAGCAAGAAGAAAAAGAAAUCAAAGAGCCAGGCUUGCUGAUAUGGACAUGCCAUCAGUGAUAGCUGGUUCUUGCAAGAGUUGGGGAUGAAGCCUGGGGAAGUUGCCCUUAACCCCAGGGGUGAGAUUGUGGAUGUCUGCUGGGAUUACCAUAGUACACUGCAUAUCACCUUCCUUGUAUGUGUUCCUGGCACUUCUCUGUGGCAUGGUUCCUCUCAUCCACCUUUUCCUUCUGAGAUACCUCAUCCUGCAGCUGGAAGGAGUUUCUUAGGACAACCUGAAGACACAGGCCACGAGAAAAUUAACAGAAGAGAGGCCACAUUCCCUCUUCCCAGGCUGGCCCAGUGUGAUUUCCUGACUCACCUGCCCUCUGGCUUCCCUACCAAUUGGUCUAGUUGGAGGCAGUGUUGGAAGAUCAGAGGGUGAGAAGAUGGGAGAAUGGAAAGCACAUCACUCUGUCCCUGGACGUCUCCAGCACUCAUAGUGUCUCCUUCUUGCUCUGGUUCCAGGGGGUGCUCUUCCCUGGGCAACUCCUUCUGGGGGCACCCCUCGGUCUAGAAGGCCUUCUCCACUUUCUGUCACAUGUGUUACUAAUUGCCAUAUUAAACAUCAUCCUUCUGAGAUGUGUAGCGUGAGUUCUGCUUUUUUGACUAGAUCUUGAAUCUC